CCUACGGGAGGCAGCAGUGAGGAAUAUUGGUCAAUGGGCGCGAGCCUGAACCAGCCAAGUAGCGUGAAGGAUGACUGCCCUACGGGUUGUAAACUUCUUUUAUAAAGGAAUAAAGUGAGGCACGUGUGCCUUUUUGUAUGUACUUUAUGAAUAAGGAUCGGCUAACUCCGUGCCAGCAGCCGCGGUAAUACGGAGGAUCCGAGCGUUAUCCGGAUUUUUUGGGUUUAAAGGGAGCGUAGAUGGGUUGUUAAGUCAGUUGUGAAAGUUUGGGGCUCAACCGGAGAAUUGCAAUUGAUACUGGCAGCCUUGAGUACAGGUGAGGUAGGCGGAAUUCGUGGUGUAGCGGUGAAAUGCUUAGAUAGCACGAAGAACUCCGAUUGCGAAGGCAGCCUACUAGACUGCCACUGACAUUGAUGCUCGAAAGUGUGGGUAUCAAACAGGAUUAGAUACCCCUGUAGUC
rnacentral:rRNA from 1 species